rnacentral:rRNA from 1 species
UCAUUUAUUUGAAAGGGGCAAUUGCUCCACUACAAGAUGAGCCUGCGGCGUAUUAGCUUGUUGGUGGGGUAAUGGCCUACCAAGGCAACGAUGCGUAGCCGGACUGAGAGGUUGAACGGCCACACUGGGACUGAGACACGGCCCAGACUCCUACGGGAGACAGCAGUUAGGAAUAUUCGGCAAUGGGCGAAAGCCUGACCGAGCAAUGCCGCGUGUGAGAUGAAGGUCCUUUGGAUUGUAAAUCACUUUUAUUUGGGAAGAACAGUAAGUAUAGGAAAUGAUGCUUACUUGACGGUACCUUUUGAAUAAGCCCCGGCUAACUACGUGCCAGCAGCCGCGGUAAUACGUAGGGGGCGAGCGUUAUCCGGAUUUAUUGGGCGUAAAGCGUGUGUAGGCGGUUUGUUAAGUCUGAGAUGAAAGGCUAUGGCUCAACCAUAGUUUGUUUCAGAAACUGGCAGACUAGAGUGCAGUAGAGGCAAAUGGAAUUCAUAGUGUAGCGGUGGAAUGCGUAGAUAUUAUGAGGAACAUCAGUGGCGAAGGCGAUUUGCUGGGCUGUUACUGACGCUGAGACACGAAAGCGUGGGGAGCAAAUAGGAUUAGAUACCCUAGUAGUCCACGCUGUAAACGAUGAGCACUAA